ensembl:lncRNA novel transcript
UUUUCCUCCGGAAGUGCGGCACCCAGAGGCCGUCCUGUAGCCGGGCCGGCUUGGGGCUUGGUUCUAUGUCCCUGCGGGUCGGUGCAAGGGCGAAGAGGAACCCGUGGGCCUCAGGGGAUCCCGGGGGGCCGGACCAGUGUUCCCUAGUUGUGGGAGCAGACGCGUGGGCACAUUGCGGGCGGGCAGGGCCUGAAGUGCAGCUAUGUUUCCAGUGUCCUCUGGGUGUUUCCAAGAGCAACAAGAAAUGAAUAAAUCUCUGUUGAAGAGAUACCAUUUGACAUUUUAGAGAUGGCUGCAUGCAAACUCUUGAAACAUUUGACCACCCUCCAGGGUGCCCCGACUCACUUUCCCUGCAGAUGGAGGCAAGGAGGCUCCACAGACAACCCCCCUGCCUGAGGUCACAUAGUGGCCAGCAGGCCAGAUGUGGCUUACCCGUGGAUUCUAGAGAAGAAAGUAGAUGGGAGCAAGUGUCCAAUACAGCAACAGCUGGAAAGAAAAAUAAAGAAUCUUGUUCUUUACCUAAAACACUUCAGUUAACUAAGUGUGAGUUUAAAAACUAAAGAUUGAGAACUUUAUCAGAGUUAAUAAGAAUGAGAAAUAUGUAUGUACAUUUACAAUACAAAAUUACUAUUUAAUAAUUUACACAUGGCAUUAAUUCUAAUUGUGUUUAAAUAUCAGAACUUUUUCAGUCUUCAUUCAUGUAAUCAACAGCCACAUGCUAAGGUACUAGAACCAGCACUGGAAUUACAAGAUGAAGAUGGCAUGGUCCACCUCUCAACAGUCAUAAGCUAUAACCUAAAAAACAGACAGGCAGGCAAUGUCCAUAUAGAGUCAUAGAUACCGUGACAGGUAUACAGCAGGGCACUACUGGAACACAGAGAAGGGACAUCUACCCACUUUUAUGUCAAUAUCAUGGGCUUUCUGGUGGAGGAGAUAACAUAGGUUGAUACCUGAAGGACAAGGAAAAGCUUCCCAGAUAGAGGAAAGAGGCAAAGGCAAAGAGCCUGAGGUGAGGAAGAGCCCUGCAGAGUUCCACUCCAUCCAGUUUGGUGCUAGAGCAAAGGGCAGAGUGCAGUAAGUGGUGAGAAACAAGGCUGAGUAACUUGGCAAGAAUUACAUUGACAUGGGUGUUUUUAUUUCAUGGUGAAAAAUUUGGAACUUUUCCUGAGAACAAGUGUAAGCCAAUGACACAGUAAAUUAGAGGAGAUUUAAAAUGUCACCUGUCAAGUGACUGCUUAUGAAGGGUUAUUGCUCAGCUAAGUAUUUCUGAAUGAGUCUUAGUCUGUUGGCCUUCAAUCUCUACCGAAACCCUGAGAACUUGAUGAUGCUUUUGUUUUCUGAGAAUCGUUUCAGUGUGCUGGCUGACAGUUCCAUGAGGAUGGCAAAACUUAAGAAACUGUAGAGCCAGUGAAAAAGAGAUGCACAGACUUCUUGGGAACUGUUUAAGCUUAGGAACAUGAUGAAUUUAUGGUGCAUAAGUACAGUCUUCUCUGUGAAAGUUUUUGUUUUCACAUCUUUCAUUAGAUGUGUGUAAGAAAAAAAUAUUGAUGUAGUAUCUACUAACCCAAGAAUGAAAAGGAAUGCCAUUUGCUAUUUACACUUUAUUUCUAAAAUAAACCUAAAUUUAAUUAAUAAAUUUUGUCAACGUAC